rnacentral:rRNA from 1 species
UGGGGAAUUUUGGACAAUGGGCGAAAGCCUGAUCCAGCAAUGCCGCGUGUGUGAAGAAGGCCUUCGGGUUGUAAAGCACUUUUGUCCGGAAAGAAAUCCUUGGCUCUAAUACAGUCGGGGGAUGACGGUACCGGAAGAAUAAGCACCGGCUAACUACGUGCCAGCAGCCGCGGUAAUACGUAGGGUGCAAGCGUUAAUCGGAAUUACUGGGCGUAAAGCGUGCGCAGGCGGUUUGCUAAGACCGAUGUGAAAUCCCCGGGCUCAACCUGGGAACUGCAUUGGUGACUGGCAGGCUAGAGUAUGGCAGAGGGGGGUAGAAUUCCACGUGUAGCAGUGAAAUGCGUAGAGAUGUGGAGGAAUACCGAUGGCGAAGGCAGCCCCCUGGGCCAAUACUGACGCUCAUGCACGAAAGCGUGGGGAGCAAACAGGAUUAGAUACCCUGGUAGUCCACGCCCUAAACGAUGUCAACUAGUUGUUGGGGAUUCAUUUCCUUAGUAACGUAGCUAACGCGUGAGUUGACCGCCUGGGGAGUACGGUCGCAAGAUUAAACUUAAUG